rnacentral:rRNA from 1 species
CAGCAGCCCGGUAAUACGAAGGGUGCAAGCGUUACUCGGAAUUACUGGGCGUAAAGCGUGCGUAGGUGGUGGUUUAAGUCCGUUGUGAAAGCCCUGGGCUCAACCUGGGAAUUGCAGUGGAUACUGGGUCACUAGAGUGUGGUAGAGGAUAGUGGAAUUUCCGGUGUAGCAGUGAAAUGCGUAGAGAUCGGAAGGAACAUCUGUGGCGAAGGCGACUAUCUGGGCCAACACUGACACUGAGGCACGAAAGCGUGGGGAGCAAACAGGAUUAGAUACCCGUGUAGUCCCUGUCUCUUAUACA